rnacentral:rRNA from 1 species
GGGUGGCCUAAUACAUGCAAGUCGAGCGAACAGACGAGGAGCUUGCUCCUCUGACGUUAGCGGCGCGACGGGUGAGUAACACGUGGGUAACCUACCUAUAAGACUGGGAUAACUCCGGGAAACCGGGGCUAAUACCGGAUAAUACAUGAAACCGCAUGGUUUCAUGAUGAAAGACGGUUUUGCUGUCACUUAUAGAUGGACCCGCGGCGUAUUAGCUAGUUGGUAAGGUAACGGCUUACCAAGGCAACGAUACGUAGCCGACCUGAGAGGGUGAUCGGCCACACUGGAACUGAGACACGGUCCAGACUCCUACGGGAGGCAGCAGUAGGGAAUCUUCCGCAAUGGGCGAAAGCCUGACGGAGCAACGCCGCGUGAGUGAUGAAGGUCUUCGGAUCGUAAAACUCUGUUAUUAGGGAAGAACAAGGAUGUAAGUAACUAUGCAUCCCUUGACGGUACCUAAUCAGAAAGCCACGGCUAACUACGUGCCAGCAGCCGCGGUAAUACGUAGGUGGCAAGCGUUAUCCGGAAUUAUUGGGCGUAAAGCGCGCGUAGGCGGUUUUUUAAGUCUGAUGUGAAAGCCCACGGCUCAACCGUGGAGGG